GAUAAGCUGUGUUCCAGAGGCAGCCAAGGCUGUAUCUCCUGUUGGCAGCGCAGACUUGGUAAUGUGUUAGAGUCAUCCAGGUGAGACUGGUUUUGAUGGCAUGAAGGGGUCACGGAGAGCAGCUGAGGCUUGGCCCUUGAGAGGCCAGGGGAGGCCAUUGGUGAAGGUGCAGCCUCGGUGGCAGUUGAGGGCCCAGGACUGAGGCGGUCAUGCGAAGAAAUUGAGGCCUGGCAUCAUGAGGAGAGCCUAUGAGAGACUAUUUGUGAAAGCGCAGCCCAGUUGCAGCAGAAGAACCUAGAGUUUUGGAGAUGCCAGUAUCCUGGGAUGGCCACCAAGGACAGCAGCAGCAGUGGCGUGGAGCCAGCCGGAGCCUAGAGGACAAGCUGUGUGAGCUGCAGAGGCCAGAGCUGGAGAAGAGACCCAGCCCCUUGGAGGAGCCCAGAAGACCGUCUAUCCGACUCUAUCUCAAGCCUCUGAAGCCUUGCCCGAGACGCAGCUUUCUGUAGACAGGAGAGCAAACCAUUGGGAGCCAUCACCAUCUGGAGGCAGAGUUCAUCAGACUAGCAUCAUCAUGAAUGUAUGUGAGUCUAUGCCUGGCUGUGAAGUUCAUAUUAGGAUGUAAUUUGGAUAAUGACUUGCCUGCUAUUCAUUAAAUUACUGCACGCCA